UACGUAGGUGGCAAGCGUUGUCCGGCAUUAUUGGGCGUAAAGGGCUCGCAGGCGGGUUAUUAAGUAUGAUGUGAAAGCCCCCGGCUCAACCGGGGAGGGUCAUUGGAAACCGGGAAACUUGAGUGCAGAAGAGGAGAGUGGAAUUCCACGUGUAGCGGUGAAAUGCGUAGAGAUGUGGAGGAACACCAGUGGCGAAGGCGACUCUCUGGUCUGUAACUGACGCUGAGGAGCGAAAGCGUGGGGAGCGAACAGG
rnacentral:misc_RNA from 1 species